rnacentral:tRNA from 1 species
GCCGUCUUAGCUCAGCGUGGUAGAGCAGUUGACUGUUAAUCAACUGGUCGCAGGUUCAAGUCCUGUAGACGGCG